AUGGCAUUUCUGUAAUAUUGUU
rnacentral:snRNA from 1 species